rnacentral:rRNA from 1 species
AAUAUUGCGCAAUGGAGGGAACGCUGACGCAGCGACGCCGCGUGAGCUAUGAAGGUCUUCGGAACUUAAAUCUCUGUCCUUGGGGAAGAAGGUCUUCGGACUUGACGGUACCUAAGGAGGAAGCCCCGGCUAACUACGUGCCAGCAGCCGCGGUAAUACGUAGGGGGCAAGCGUUGUCCGGAAGUAUUGGGCGUAAAGGGUGCGUAGGCGGCCUUUUAAAUCAGGUGUGAAAGCCCACGGCUUAACCGUGGGAUUGCAUUUGAAACUGGAAGGCUUGAGUAUCGGAGAGGAUAGUGGAAUUCCCAGUGUAGCGGUGGAAUGCGUAGAUAUUGGGAGGAACACCAGUGGCGAAGGCGACUACCUGGACGAAAACUGACGCUGAGGCACGAAAGCUAGGGGAGCAAACA